ACGGAAGGCAGCAGUGGGGAAUAUUGCGCAAUGGGGGGAACCCUGACGCAGCAAUACCGCGUGAGUGAAGAAGGUUUUCGGAUCGUAAAACUCUUUUAUUGGGGAAGAAGAAUGACGGUACCCAAUGAAGAAGUCCCGGCUAACUACGUGCGAGCAGCCGCGGUAAUACGUAGGGGACAAGCGUUGUCCGGAAUGACUGGGCGUAAAGGGCACGUAGGCGGUUAAUUAAGUCUGAUGUGAAAGGUACCGGCUCAACCGGUGACAUGCAUUUGAAACUGAUCAACUUGAGUACUGGAGAGGCAAGCGGAAUUCCUAGUGUAGCGGUGAAAUGCGUAGAUAUUAGGAGGAACACCGACGGCGAAGGCAGCUUGCUGGACAGAUACUGACGCUGAGGUGCGAAAGCGUGGGUAGCAAACAGGAUUAGAUACCCUGGUA
rnacentral:rRNA from 1 species